CCCUUAGAUGUUCUGGGCCGCACGCGCGCUACACUGACUACUUCAACGAGUUGUUUCCUUGAUCGAAAGGUCUGGGUAAUCUUUGAAAGGUAGUCGUGAUGGGGAUAGAUCCUUGCAAUUUUUGAUCUUCAACGAGGAAUUCCUAGUAAACGCAAGUCAUCAGCUUGCAUUGAUUACGUCCCUGCCCUUUGUACACACCGCCCGUCGCACCUACCGAUUGAAUGGUCCGGUGAAUCUUUAGGGCUGUGGCUGAGGCCUUGCCUUGUGCGGGUCUGGCCGUGGGAAUUUAGUUAAACCUUACCAUUUAGAGGAAGGUGAAGUCGUAACA
rnacentral:rRNA from 1 species